rnacentral:rRNA from 1 species
UGGGGAAUAUUGGACAAUGGGCGAAAGCCUGAUCCAGCAAUGCCGCGUGAGUGAUGAAGGCCUUAGGGUUGUAAAGCUCUUUUACCAGGGAUGAUAAUGACAGUACCUGGAGAAUAAGCUCCGGCUAACUCCGUGCCAGCAGCCGCGGUAAUACGGAGGGAGCUAGCGUUGUUCGGAAUUACUGGGCGUAAAGCGCGCGUAGGCGGCUUUUCAAGUCAGGGGUGAAAUCCCGGAGCUCAACUCCGGAACUGCCCUUGAAACUGGAUGGCUAGAAUACUGGAGAGGUGAGUGGAAUUCCGAGUGUAGAGGUGAAAUUCGUAGAUAUUCGGAAGAACACCAGUGGCGAAGGCGACUCACUGGACAGUUAUUGACGCUGAGGUGCGAAAGCGUGGGGAGCAAACAGGAUUAGAUACCCCCGUAGUCC